UACGGAGGGAGCUAGCGUUGUUCGGAAUUACUGGGCGUAAAGCGCACGUAGGCGGCUUUGUAAGUUAGAGGUGAAAGCCUGGGGCUCAACCCCAGAAUUGCCUUUAAGACUGCAUCGCUUGAAUCCAGGAGAGGUGAGUGGAAUUCCGAGUGUAGAGGUGAAAUUCGUAGAUAUCAGGAGGAACACCGGUGGCGAAGGCGGCAUCCUGGACCGGUAUUGA
rnacentral:rRNA from 1 species